AUGGCCGAGAUAGCCAUGUCUUUGUUGAGGUCCCGAACCUCAAGCGUGGCUGCGUUGAAUCGCAUCACAAAGUGUCGUAGAGUCUCAUUUUCUCUCUGCUUGAGGGAGAAAAGACUGUCCGAGGUUCGUGGCGGCUUCCGACUGGUGCUGAAAUGGACCACGAAGGAAUGUUCGAGCUGUCCGAAGGAGUGGAUACUUCCCGAAUGGAGGUCGGAGUACCAGGCCCUGGCAGCUUUGCGGAGUGUGGCGGGGAAGCCGAUGCAAAGAAGAGCGUCGGUUGCCCCCUGAAUUGUCAUGAGAGCCUUGUAGCUCUCC
rnacentral:lncRNA from 1 species